rnacentral:rRNA from 1 species
UACAGAGGGGGCAAGCGUUAUUCGGAAUUAUUGGGCGUAAAGGGCGCGUAGGCGGCUGUACAAGUCAAAGGUGAAAUCCCUCGGCUCAACUGAGGAACUGCCUUUGAAACUGUACGGCUUGAGGCCGGGAGGGGGUAGCGGAAUUCCCAGUGUAGCGGUGAAAUGCGUAGAUACUGGGAGGAACACCAGUGGCGAAGGCGGCUACCUGGACCGGCUCUGACGCUGAGGCGCGAAAGCGUGGGUAGCAAACAGG